rnacentral:rRNA from 1 species
CCCUUAGAUGUCCGGGGCCGCACGCGCGCUACACUGAAGGAAUCAGCGUGGCUUUCUCCCUGACCCGAAAGGGUUGGGAAACCCGUUGAAUCUCCUUCGUGAUAGGGAUUGGGGCUUGAAAUUGUUCCCCAUGAACGAGGAAUUCCCAGUAAGCGCGAGUCAUAAGCUCGCGUUGAUUACGUCCCUGCCCUUUGUACACACCGCCCGUCGCUACUACCGAUUGAACGGUUUAGUGAGGGCCUCGGAUUGGUCUCGGCCCGCUCUUCACCGGGCGGCGCCGUUGGUCGAGAAGACGCUCGAACUUGAUCGUUUAGAGGAAGUAAAAGGCGUAACA